rnacentral:lncRNA from 1 species
GAGCGGCGGAUUCAGGCAAGGAGACAAGGGGUCGAAACCCCAAUGGAGGCAGAAGCAGCAAUUUCUUUUUUUUUUUUUAUGUAUGGGCUGCAGUUGUUUAUUUUUUAGGUAAACUUUUGUUUAAAUAACAUUACAAUACGAUGCCGUUUUGAGCUAGGGUUCCUAGUGUCAAAACGACGCCGUUUAGUGGCCAUGACCCUCGCAGUGACCAGACCCGGGGAAGGAUCCGCGAGUUUUGGCCUCCGUUGGGCAAUUUGCGCAAAUGUUCCUCUCUCUUUUGCGGCGUGUUCAAUUUGAUCCUUUCUGUUUUUUAAUUUUGCUCCGCAUUUUCGUCGUUGUUUCAUUUCGACCGAGCUUUCAACGCUACGUUUUGGGGAAGCGGGAUAUUUUCCUCUUUAGCCCCCAUGUUAUUCGCUCGUGCCCUUUUUGGUCCUCAAUUCUGCUUUAUUUUCAUUUUUUUCCUUUUUAUUUCGAAUUUAAUACAAUUUUGUCCAUACUUAUUUAAUUUAAUGUACUUAAUUUUUUU